rnacentral:rRNA from 1 species
CUCCAGACUCCUACGGGAGGCAGCAGUGGGGAAUAUUGCACAAUGGGGGGAACCCUGAUGCAGCGACGCCGCGUGGGUGAAGGAGUACUUCGGUACGUAAAGCCCUAUCAGCAGGAAAGAAAAUGACGGUACCUGACUAAGAAGCCCCGGCUAACUACGUGCCAGCAGCCGCGGUAAUACGUAGGGGGCAAGCGUUAUCCGGAUUCACUGGGCGUAAAGGGAGCGCAGGCGGCACGGCAAGUCUGGUGUGAAAGCCCGGGGCCCAACCCCGGGACUGCAUUGGAAACUGCCGGGCUGGAGUGCCGGAGGGGUAAGCGGAAUUCCUGGUGUAGCGGUGAAAUGCGCAGAUAUCAGGAAGAACACCGGUGGCGUAGGCGGCUUACUGGACGGCAACUGACGCUGAGGCUCGAAAGCGUGGGGAGCAAACAGGAUUAGAUACCCGAGUACU